AAUUACAACGAGUUUUCCAGCUCUGGACUUCCAUGUAAGACAUUUAUACAAAACUCUAAUGGUUUGGAAUGAAAGAUUGGAUGAAACAUGAGAUGGUUGAUGGUUUUCUUCCUCCACUAAUAGAGUAAAUUUUCAUUAUUUUAACUAAUUGAUGAGAUCCCUUGAAAAAAUCUUUUGUAAGAAUGAGCUACUGUCAAUGGCUUAGAUCACUUUCCCAUCAGUCAUCACAACUGUUGUAAGUCUAUCGAGAUUUGUAACCUCCUCGAUGGAAAGAAGGCUAUAGGGUAUCAAGUGUAUUAAGAAGAAUCAAGUGUAACAAGGAGUAUUAGGUGUUUCAAGUGUAUCAAAGGAUAUCGAGUAGCGUAUCAAUGAGUAUCAUAGUGCAUCAAGUGUAUCCAAAGUCCAAAGGUUUUCGAGAAGGAUCAAAUGUUUAUCAAGCGUACCAAGGGGUAUCAAGUGUUUCAAGGAGUAUUAGGUGUUUUAAGUGUAUCAAAGGGUAUCGAGUAACGUAUCAAUGAGUAUCAUAGUGCAUCAAGUGUAUCCAAAGUCCAAAGGUUAUCAAGAAGUAUCAAAUGUUUAUCAAGCGUACCAAGGAGUAUCAAGUGUUUCAAGGGAUAUUAGGUAUUAUAUCAGGUAUGUAUUAGGUCUAUCAGGUGUGAAUCAAGUGUAUCAGGUGUAUCAAAUGUAUAUCAGUAACAAGGGCAUUUGUGACAUUUUACAUUUUGUAUAUGUAGGCU